rnacentral:rRNA from 1 species
CGAAGUUUACAACUCCCAAACCCCUGUGAACAUACCUAUACGUUGCCUCGGCGGAUCAGCCCGCGCCCUGUAAAAAGGGACGGCCCGCCCGAGGACCCUAAACUCUGUUUUUAGUGGAACUUCUGAGUAAAACAAACAAAUAAAUCAAAACUUUCAACAACGGAUCUCUUGGUUCUGGCAUCGAUGAAGAACGCAGCAAAAUGCGAUAAGUAAUGUGAAUUGCAGAAUUCAGUGAAUCAUCGAAUCUUUGAACGCACAUUGCGCCCGCCAGUAUUCUGGCGGGCAUGCCUGUUCGAGCGUCAUUUCAACCCUCAAGCUCAGCUUGGUGUUGGGACUCGCGGUAACCCGCGUUCCCCAAAUCGAUUGGCGGUCACGUCGAGCUUCCAUAGCGUAGUAAUCAUACACCUCGUUACUGGUAAUCGUCGCGGCCAUGCCGUAAAACCCCAACUUCUGAAUGUUGACCUCGGAUCAGGUAGAAAACCCCAUUCCAG